GCCGGGCUCGGGGGGGGAGGUGUUGAAGAAGAGGAGUUUGUUUGGAUGGUGAGAAAGUGUGGGAAAAGGCAAGAAAGUGGAGAUUUUGAGUUUGGGAUUGGGAGAAAUUAAGAGGGUUCCACUUGAGUGAGGCAGAAGUUAGGAAAAAAAAUGAGGCAUUUCGCUUUUCAUAGUGGGCAAUCAUUCAAGCAAUUGGUUAACUUUAGGUCUGAUGAUAAUGUUGAUCGGUCAUCUUCUGAAGCUCCUUGUUGAAGGCUUUUCAAUAUGGUCACCAUCUUCCUCGGGCAGCUUGACAGCCGUAUAAGUUCCCGCCCCAAAGAGUGCCCCGAGAAAUGGUGCAGUGAGGUAGACCCAUAUGGCUUUGUAGUUGUUUGCAGCUAUGGCUGGCCCUAAUGUUCUCACUGGGUUCAUGGAAGCUCCUGUUGUUUCCCUGCACAAUAGUCGAAAAUUAAAGAAAGUUUCAAGAUACCAUGCUGAAAUAGUACUAUUCUUGAGUAAUUCUUUGAGCUGUAUGACUUCCCUUUCAUAUUGACUUGCUGAAUUCAUUUUUCUACAUAGAAUUUAGAAUGUAUUUAAUUUAUCGUGCCUGUGAACUGUGUUCUUACUGUAUCUCAAGGACUUGGUAGAGGUCCUUUCAGAUAAAUAGACCCAUUCAUAUA